CUAUUUUGACGGGUUUCGCGAUCGAUGAACAUUAAACAAAGUAUCUGUUCGUUGUCGUCGAAACCUGCCUUAAAUAG
rfam:Crassostrea gigas strain 05x7-T-G4-1.051#20 contig18082, whole genome shotgun sequence.